AAUUCUUUUACUUGAAAAUCACAACUGUUUUACAACGAGGCUACAAACUCUAACUUCUAUAAUUUAACUAACGCAAGUUACAUGCACUAUGACUGUUCGUAAAAGUUUAGUAUGUUAAAAGUUUCUAUAGUAUGCACAACUACAUGUAUAGUUGAAUUCAUCUGUAGUUGUAAAAAAUCCACAGUCUUUCGCCGAGGUCUGUAGACUGUACUUUCUUCCUUCUCUACAGUUGGUCAAGUAAAAUUGCAUAGCAGAGACAGCGUCUAGUAUAAAGUUCAGUCAAAGUUCAGUCUUUGUUUUCGACGAUUAAAUAGCUUGUCAUUUCAAGCUUUCAUAUUUAUUCCCCGACUUCUGAUAUUGUUGAAGUGAACACGCAAAGUUUAAGCAUCGAAAACAAAGAAAAAUAGUUGUCAGAUUAGACAGGCUUACAAUUAUAUAUUUUUUUCCCGAUCCCAGCAGCUUUUGAAUUUUUGUUUUCCAUACCCCCAAUCCAAACUAUAUAAUUAUUUAAUUUGCGAUUCAAGGUAGAUGUUUUCAGUUUCGAUUUCAUAACAACCAGAAGAUUAAGGAACUAUUGCAUUCGAAAAAUUGAUAAACACAAUAUAAGCUACUCCCAUCCAAUUAUAUUGCUUAUUUAAACGCAUAUUUGUUGGGAUAUUUUGACAAAUAAUCCAAAUACAAACUGAGGAUCUGGUAUAAGCAGUUGUUAUUUCACGUCGCGUUAUGUUUCAAGUUCUUCCAAAUAAAUGGAUGUCAAUCGUCUUUUAAUGUCGAAGCUACAAAGCUUCUUGGAAUAUAUUCCUGGCGUUUCUUCUUCAUCAUCAUCAUUUUUCAUCAUCAUCAUCAAUGUUCGUUGUUUGUCAUCGUCUCUACUUCAUGCAAAUUUAUCAUUUCUCACUUCUGUUUCAAACUCGGUAGCAAGAAAUAUCUAUUCCUCUAUGACCAAUACCGUAACCCUUUUACUGUCGAAUUUUUACUUAGAAUUGUUGUUCGUCUGUGAUUAUGUUCAAUAUAUGUUGUUGAUCUUAUUCUUAUUUGAACUGUUUAGCAGAAUCUGAAACCGAAUAAAAGCCAUACAGAAAGCUAAACUGGUGGCAAUUCAACUUCGUAUGGCAAUUAUCUGUUCAAUAACAUUGUCUGUGUAGUUUAUUGUAACUUGCUGAUGCAAUCUCCAGAUAUUCAAUAACAAAGUUAACGUAAUUAUGUUUUCACCUCUGCUGUAGUUGAUUCAAUCAGUUUUCUUUCGUUUCCCACACGUUGUGAUCAUUUUCUACUCAUGAAAAAAAUUUUCUCUCAAAACUAUCCAUCUCUUCUUCCUAGUACUUCUUUUGUUUUCUUGCUGUUAUUCUUGUUUUCCUGUUCUGAGCAAGACUUUCCUGCCACUGUUGGUAGCUUGGCUCUUCUUUGCAAAAUUUGGUGUUGUUGGGUGUUCAUUGUAAAUGUCAAGUUGUAGUUGGUUUUUAGCUAAUGCUUUUGGAUUUCUCGUCUUCGCCUUUCACGUAACAUAUCAGUUAUAUGUGAUACACAACCUCACACAAAAAAUUGAUGGCAAUACAGUAGUUGUUUUUGACAAUUAGGCACAGUCACUAAUUCAGCAUCAGAAACGUCACCAACUGAACAAAGCCUGCCAAAUAUGAUAUUUUAUAAUUAUACACAAUGAAUCAUCAUGUAACAUUAUAAAAUUUGUCAGUUGUUAUCGUUUCUGAUAUUGAAUUAGUAACUGCGCCUAAAUGUCAAAAACAAAUAUUGCUAUCAACCUUUUUGUGCAAGGUGGUUGAUUCAGUUGUAGAUAUGGUUUCUGUCUUGUUAUGUUUUUUCUUGUUGCUUCAUUUCCAUUGCUUUCAAAAUAAACAAUGCUGCUGUUGUGUUGUUGUUGCUGAUUGCUGUUGUUGUUGAUUUGCUGUUGUUUUACUAUUUUGACAUCUUGUCAAUUCUUUGUUGUUUUUAUACUGUACUCUGUAGUUCAAGUUCUUGUUAUUGUUGUUGAUGGGACCACUUCAACAUUCUGGUUUAUGACAGGUAGUUCCCAAAUUGUGUCGUUGAUUAGUUUGUUAAUGUCAUGUCCAGUGUUAUGGCAGACUUUAACCAGUCUGCCACUUGAUGGCAGACUUUCACCAGUCUGCCACUUGACUCGGGUCCGAGGGGUCGUCAAGCCCUAACCAUUGCAUGGUCACCCUGCGGGAUAAUCAAAUGUUGCCAUUAUUGUGAAUAUAAUCAUGAUUUAGUUAAUCUUUCACCAUGUUUACCAGGAUAAGGAUGUGAAUCCAAAGUUUUGGCUGAUUGUCAACAUAGUUGUCCAGGCUUGUUGUAACAGAUGAAGGUGCAGUGUUGUAUUCAAGGUAAUUUGAAAUGAAUUUGUUUUUUAUGUCAUUUGGGAAACAAAUGUAGGCUGACAUAGCGUGUUGGGGACAUUAACCUCAUCUUGACACGAGCAGUACAGCCAAUUGACAAGGAAAGCCAUUUGCAGUUACUACCAAUAAGGUAAGCAGGAUCACAUCAUAGUGGCUGCAAAGGUGAAAUUAAAAUCUAGUCAGGCUCACUAUGCCAGAGUGCUGGUUGGUUAAACAUUUUCUUGACAUAAGCAGUACUACCAAAUGAUAAGAAAAGCAAGCACGCUCACAUCGUAGUGGUUGAUGUGGUGAUAAGAGUAUCAUUACAUACAUUGUAUCUUGUUGCUCUACUUCUAUGUCUUUUAACUUGUCCCAUGUUUAGGAUAAUCAUGUAAUGAAAGUGUUGGUUUCUGACAACACUUUAGACAGACUCAAGCAAGAAAUGUUGCAGUGACUUCACUGACUUCCACAAUGGACAGAUAACCUACAACAUAUUGAAAUAUUUUUGGGAUUAAACUUAUUUCAAAAUCAUUUAAAACAACAAAAAUUGUUUUCUUUAAAGCUUUGCAUGGCAAGUAAGUAACAGUUUGUGGUUACACCAUGUUUUUAAUUUAAUUCCAAGCUUUCAAAACAAAAGAUUGGUUUUAAAUAAAGGUUAACCCAGUGAGCCCCAACAGUCUCCCCUUGACGAUUAAGUUCAUUCUCUGUUCACACUAAGAUGGAUGAUGUACAAAUCUAGCCAAAAUUCACUUGUAGUAAAAAGCAAACUAUGUAAUUGUUUCUAAAAACCUUUCUGUGUCAAACUCGCAUUCCUUGUAAAUGUGCGAUGUUGGCAUUUACAUAUGAAUGUCCUGACACAUAAUUAGCAUAUUAAUUGCUUGCAUAAAUUAUUUUCCUGAAAGACUAGGAAAAGCUUGAGGCAAGUUUUGCUACAUUGUUGCGCAGUCGCUUCCGUUGUUUCAGACAACAUGCAGGCUAGAACGGAAAUGCAGAAUUGAUGCAUGUUCCGGCACAGAUUUGUGGCAUACGUACAUUCAUUUCACGACCCAAAGCACAACUAGCCUGCGUGCAGGCCCAAGGGAACUUGAUAGUGGGCCUGCAACCAUCGCCCGGUAUUUUGUAAUAUGCCCUUUUCAUAACACGCCCCAUUCGCGUGUCAAUUGUCAAAAAAGAACCAAUGACAGCACCCAAAUAUUAACAAACAAACUCGCAUUAAAAUGUUGUGGGGUUUUCUCUGCUUAUUCAUAACACUAAUAAACAAUGUGUAAAUGGCUGCGUUUUAACUCCAAAAAAGCAAGCAACGCAGUCAGUAAUUGCCAAAUUUGCAAGUGCUCAUUUUCAACUGAAAUCGGAACAGGCAAAUUAGGACGAAUUUCAACAGAAAACCAGUCUCAAACUUCAAAUCAUGAGGGAAGUCGGGCGACCACAUUAGGAUUUAUAUUAUGUGUGCUUCGCUGUCGCCAUUGGCAUUGUUAUAAAUAAAUUGUCUCACUUAUCAGAUCGUGUGUGCAAUUCUUGUUGGCGGCGGAAAGUACGAAAUUUAUUUCAUUUGGUAAAGAACUCUACAAAAGAAGAGAGCGUUCCGAGUCCAGAUCGUUUCGUUUCAAACGGCAAUUUAAUACCGCCUUCUGUUUCGCUCUCUCUGCGAAGCCUUGUAAAUCGCAAAGUGUUUCGAAUAGGCUUACAGUUCUUACAUGCAACUGCAUCUCAACAUCAACCAAAAGAUAAUUUUCUUGAGGAAGUGAGAACACAUAACGUAUCAACUGAAGUCUGUUUGAAAUUAAUGAAACUCAAGUAAAGGUUACUAUAGUUUACCCCAGUCAUAAUGUUGCUAUUCCAACACCUCACGAUAAGCAAUCCCCAUUGGCAUAACGGCAAAAACAUGUCUUCCUUCAAGUAAACAAUAAACAGUCUGUUCUUGUUCCAUUUGUAAUCGAAAAAAGUGAUCAAUUUUCAAAUUUUAAGCUUAUCGAGAGCCUUUGUCUAUGCCUUUGUGAUGAAUCACUGUUCCCUUGUGCCUGCACAAUGGGCUAGGUUAAUUAAUUACCGAUCGCCUCAGCUAGCCAAUGGGAAUUUAGCCGGCGGUUUGGCCGGCGAAAAUCGAAAAUAUGGGGUGAUGGUUGCAGGCCCACUAUCAAGUUCCCUUGGGCCUGCACGCAGGCUAAAGCACAACAUAUAUAUUUGGGUACCAACUUUUCAAGCACAGCUUUCACUCCCACCCCUUUGUUUUCUAGCCUCGUUUUUUCAUUAGUAUAUAUUUGACCCAACCCUAAUAUCAAUUCAUGCCACAGGUGUACAUCAUCUUGAGAAACGAUUAAUAAACAAAUGCAAAAUAUGCAAUGUAGCUUUUUAACAAAUUUAAUAUGGUAUGUGUCAGUUCAAACCACAAAACUAUGAAAAUUUUAAAGAUAUGAACAUUUGGGUCAUAAAAUGAAAGCAAUGUAUGUAAGGAAAUCGUAGAAUAUCAUAUAAAUUUCACUUUUUAAAACUGUAAAUAUGCAAUCUUUCACUUUCAUUUUCAAUACUGGCUGCAAACAAUGAACUAUCUGUUCGACUUGUAUAAACACAAAACCAACUAAAAUUACUCACUUUUAAAUCCUUAAAUCGAGAAUACCAUUUCUAGAUUGCCAAAAAGAAUGAAUCACUCUUGUAGCUUUACAGUUAAGGCCAAAAUACAUGAUUUUUUUAGACAAAAUCUUCCCUCUCCCAUGUGCUCUGGCCAAAACGCAAAUUUGAGCAUUUUCG